UAGUUUAAAGGUAAAGCACUAUGACUGGUAAUCACAGAGAUGUGAGUUCAAGUCUCAU
rnacentral:tRNA from 1 species